rnacentral:rRNA from 1 species
CAGUGAUAAACUGGAGGAAGGUGGGGAUGACGUCAAGUCAUCAUGGCCCUUACGACCAGGGCUACACACGUGCUACAAUGGCGCAUACAAAGAGAAGCGACCUCGCGAGAGCAAGCGGACCUCAUAAAGUGCGUCGUAGUCCGGAUUGGAGUCUGCAACUCGACUCCAUGAAGUCGGAAUCGCUAGUAAUCGUGGAUCAGAAUGCCACGGUGAAUACGUUCCCGGGCCUUGUACACACCGCCCGUCACACCAUGGGAGUGGGUUGCAAAAGAAGUAGGUAGCUUAACCUUCGGGAGGGCGCUUACCACUUUGUGAUUCAUGACUGGGGUGAAGUCGUAACAAGGUAACCGUAGGGGAACCUGCGGUUGGAUCACCUCCUUACCUUAAAGAAG